UACGGGGGGGGCAAGCGUUGUUCGGAAUUACUGGGCGUAAAGGGCGCGUAGGCGGCCAGCACAAGUCAGUUGUGAAAUCUCCGAGCUUAACUCGGAACGGUCAACUGAUACUGUGCGGCUAGAGUGCGGAAGGGGCAACUGGAAUUCUUGGUGUAGCGGUGAAAUGCGUAGAUAUCAAGAGGAACACCUGCGGCGAAGGCGGGUUGCUGGGCCGACACUGACGCUGAGGCGCGAAAGCCAGGGGAGCGAACGGGG
rnacentral:rRNA from 1 species